AACAUUAUAUUCUCUUAGAUUGUUUUUACUGAUUUGAGAGGUAAAGCAUUUGAAGUGCAGGUUGGAUUGCAUGAACUAUUAGGACACGGAUCAGGGAAACUGUUCAGUAAGGAUAAGAAUGGAGUCUUUAACUUUGAACAAGAUAAAGUUAUUAAUCCUUUGACUGGAGAUAAGG